rnacentral:rRNA from 1 species
ACGGGUGAGUAACACGUGGGUAACCUGCCCAUCAGAAGGGGAUAACACUUGGAAACAGGUGCUAAUACCGUAUAACAAUCGAAACCGCAUGGUUUUGAUUUGAAAGGCGCUUUCGGGUGUCGCUGAUGGAUGGACCCGCGGUGCAUUAGCUAGUUGGUGAGGUAACGGCUCACCAAGGCCACGAUGCAUAGCCGACCUGAGAGGGUGAUCGGCCACAUUGGGACUGAGACACGGCCCAAACUCCUACGGGAGGCAGCAGUAGGGAAUCUUCGGCAAUGGACGAAAGUCUGACCGAGCAACGCCGCGUGAGUGAAGAAGGUUUUCGGAUCGUAAAACUCUGUUGUUAGAGAAGAACAAGGAUGAGAGUAACUGUUCAUCCCUUGACGGUAUCUAACCAGAAAGCCACGGCUAACUACGUGCCAGCAGCCGCGGUAAUACGUAGGUGGCAAGCGUUGUCCGGAUUUAUUGGGCGUAAAGCGAGCGCAGGCGGUUUCUUAAGUCUGAUGUGAAAGCCCCCGGCUCAACCGGGGAGGGUCAUUGGAAACUGGGAGACUUGAGUGCAGAAGAGGAGAGUGGAAUUCCAUGUGUAGCGGUGAAAUGCGUAGAUAUAUGGAGGAACACCAGUGGCGAAGGCGGCUCUCUGGUCUGUAACUGACGCUGAGGCUCGAAAGCGUGGGGAGCAAACAGGAUUA